CUGUGGGCCAAAUUGUUCAGCUGGUGGACGCUAUGGGAACCGAAAGCGCUCUCUGAUGUCACCUUUGCUCUCACGGUUUGCAGCCGUGGGUUUUGCCAGAGGACAGAACCAGCAGGGCCUAACAGGAAGGAGAACCAAGGGACGUGGAUUUUAUUCACAAAGGGAAAUCCAAACAGUGAGCCCAUCGCUUUCCCCUCCAUUUUCCCUGAGAGAGCAAACAGGCACUUUGUGUAUCCUGACCCAGAUGCCGCAGACAGAGAAACUUGUCUGUGCUUGUAUAAUCAUUCACUCUUUUGUCAACAAUGAGAACAAAUUGACAAAACUACAGAUUUGAUUUCCAGCUCAGUCACCAAGACACAUUACAUUUGAUCAUCAUGUAUGAUCAAAUGUAAUCCCAUCUGCAAUUCAUGCAACAGAAUAGUUACUUUCUAACAUAAACUUUCUUAUAUUGUGUGUACAGUAGAUGUACAGUAUGGUAUUAUUUUAUAUCAAACUAGUUUAUUGUAUUAAAGCAAACCAGUGCAAAUCAUUUAAAGAGGCUUCUCACCUCGCUUCAUCCACAAACAUUACGCCAUGUAUAACAUUAAAUUCCUUAGAUGUGCCUGUUAUUACGGUGUUCUGUCGUGCUGACACAAGAACUCGUUGACCUCUAAUGUAUGACCACCUGCCUCUUUUUGCAUUUAACAUCCCACCAUAGACGCCUCAUUCCGCAUUUAAAUCCAAUGCAUUAUAUUGUUGUGACCAAGACUUGUCUAACCCAUCAUGGAAUAGAUAUUUUCGAGAAAUAGAUCCUAAACUGUGUUAUUUAAAUUGAUCAUCAUAACAAGGUUUUACGACAAAAACGUGCCAUGAUAUUUGCACCUCGGACCUAAAAUAAACACACAAAGUAAUGAUUCAUGAAUGCCGGAAGAAUCAGGAACUAAUCACCUUAGAUCUUUGGGCGUGAGUUUUACUUACUGCAAGGAAAUGUUAGUAGAGCCAUAUUCAGAAGGCAUCAAGUUCAGAAAGCAUCAAAACACUCCACAAAUAGAGAUGUGGUAGCACUCCGACCUAAAGAAACAACGUUCUGCACAGCUUUAUACCUGCUUGUUCCACGCGUUGGCAAACAAUGCAUGCUUCGUAUGCAUUGCAGUGCAAAAGCGCAGCACACGAGGAGACAGGUCCGCAUCAUCAUCGUCAUGUGGAUCCGUGGACAGCUUGGAUGAGAAAGUCCCGCCGUCUACAGGCUCCUGCCCUUGCUGGAGCCGAAGAAUGACGGGCAGCACAGCGUCUAAAGGGUCUCUUAUAGGUUCAGAUUUCUUUGUUCUCUUUUUCUUCACAUAGACUUUCUUUAUAGCCUGGAGUGAUAAUACCACUUGUUACCACGUGACUCUUAACCCGUUUUAUGCUGUGCACUUGAACAUGGAUUCAAAACAGAUGAUGUACCCGAGGACGAAGGAUAAGGAUGUGGAUAUUCUACAUUUAGGCUAUUUAUCUCAAUAAUGUCUCCGAAAUACCUGAUUAUCCCCCAUCCCGUACAAUUUAGGUAACCAUUCCAACAAGUGCAUGAAAAUAAACUAUCUAUUUGUCA